UUGAAAUUAAAAAACGUAAGGAUUCUACUUAAUAAUUUAAAGGAGAUUGAUUUUACCGGCAUUUAUAUGUUGAUGUUAAUAGCUCUUCUACGUAGCAUUUAACACUAAUUUUCACAGAGAUCUUAAAGUGCGUAGCUGAAAAAGUUUACCUUUUCGGGUUCUAUAUCAAAUUCACCCUAUAAUUUAUAUUCAAGUUGUUGGCACAAUAAAACAUGAUGGAAAACUUGAACAUCAAGACUACAUUUAUGAAAAGGAAGCAGGAAUUCCGUUUUAAAACUUAACGUCUUUCUGUGCUUUCUUUCCAAUUUUUGGCUAUGCUUCAGAUUUAUGCAUAUUCGUGCACAAGCCAACAAUCUGAUAAACAUUAACAUUCCAUUCUUAACUCCAGUAUUCCUAAUACAACAAAAUACUUUGCAGAAUCCGAAACGAACAUUUGCAUCUAACAUUUAGAGAUUCGGCUAAUUAUGAGACAAACCGUAUCAAUCGUGGAAAGAAAACUGCUAUAUACAUAAUGUUUUUUGUAAUUUUAUCUUAGUAGUUUCACCUUUAACUUGCAGACUCAUACAUCCUCGAUACAUUAUUGUAAUUUUUGGUAUUCCUUUCCUAACAUCCGCCCGGGCUAAUCAAAGAAAAACAAAAAGUAAAAUAAAGAUGCUACAGAUUAAAAACUAUUUUAAGAAAAAUGUUUUCAAGUGGAUGCAAAGCAGCGUUGGGCUGAAUAUUGCAAUUUGUUUACAUCUUCUCAACCAAGCUCUACAUGAGUAGCAGUAAUUGUUAUUCAGAGUAUGGCAACUAAAAAAGAAGUUGGUAUCUUGUAUUGCAUUGAUACAAUCCUGUGUUUGCUAAACUACAUAUCUAGUGGAGGAAACAGGAUAAUCUUAAUAAGUAUUUACUAUAAGCAGUACGUACUUUCUCAAUGAGACUUACAAGUCAUUGCAAAAAAGCUAGUGCUAAACCCAUCCAAGCAUUACUCUAUAAUUACACAAUUCACCACAGCGUUCGGACCUUUUAGCUUGUCUGAAAUCGCCAACAAACCAUUUUCAUUCAUUUUGCAUGUGAUACAUCUAUUCCAACUCCUCGAUGUUACCACGUUCAGAAACAUAGAUACCAUCCAAGAACUUACGGAUAUCCUUGUUGCGGACAUUGCAAAUUUGCUUGAUGUUGGCAGCGGAUUGAGAAACAUUCUCCAAGGAGUUACCUUCAAUUAUAAUCUCAUCCUUGACGGCAGAAGAAAUGGAAACGGUAACGCCAGGCAAACACUUGAUGACACGAGUAAUACGUUCGCCCAAAAAGUUACGGAUCUCAACAACGGUUCCGUUCUCAGUCAAAUUGAUGUUGAUGGGAAAGUGAGCAUAGACAAGACGCAUCUUGUAGCGGAAACCUUGGGUAACGCCAAUGAUCAUGUUAUUGAUGAUGGAAUAGGCGGUACGAAUGCAAGCAUUAUGCUUACGAGAGCCAUGCCAGACAAUAAACUUGAUAGUGUUGCCUUGCUUCUUCAACUCAAUAUCCACACGGCGCAAGUUUUGCUUCAAAACACCACGAGGGCCUUUUACAGUCACCAAACGAGCCUUGAUGUCAACUGAAACGCCCUCAGGGAUCGUCAAUGUCUCGUCCUUGUAAAUAUCGCGGCCCAUGUUGCUGUUGUUUGAUUUUUUCUAACGUACGGCGUUCGGCAGGUUGUUUGUCUGGCUUCAGUUGUCUAUUCAUAAAAAACAGUCACGAAAGUUUCGAGCUUGAAACGAGACGUUUUACGCAGCGUGUUGACUUGCACUAGUGUGACUGCUUUUCUUUGGUGGAAACUUUAGUAGGAAGCAACAGUGUCGCUGAGUUUACUCUUGACCAACG